GUGUAUAUGGGUGCCCUUGGAGGCCAGCAGAGGAUGUCGUAGUUCCUGGAAUCAGAGUUACAGGAGGUUGUGAGCCCUCCAACAUGUGUGCUGGGACUCAAAGAGCUUUGCACCCCUGGACCUGUGGACCUUCCUUCAAUUCUCACAGCAAGGACCAGCUGCUAAGGGAUAAUUAGGAACGAAGACUCAGCAGGGAGCUGGAGGUGGAGCUGACGGACAAAGGAUUUGAAGAUUCUCUCAUCAGUGGGAGAGGCCUGCUCCGCCACUGUUACAGCCUCUGUUCGCUCAAUCACUUUGCUUCAAUGGUACAUACAGUCAGCUGUUUCCAAGGUCAGAUUCAUCAGUUCCCCCUAAACUUCAAAAAACAACCGACAGGAGAGUCCUUGUAAUGCUUUUAAUGCGGCUUCUUCACAUCAGCUCCAAAUGUGAUCUGGCACUUUUCGAAUCACUUGACUCUUCAAGGAGAGUCCCAGCAGGAGAGUCACCCCACAAGGAAGCUGGGCAGCCUGUCAUGAAGGCCAGCUGUACAGGUGGGGCUGGCAGAGCUUUGGGGACGUUGGUAGGUCAUCUGUACAGUGGUCGCUAGCAGCCCAGUUUUUUUUUAAUAAUCAAGGACACUGAGGUUGCCCAGCUCCUCGGAAGACUUAAAGUGUGUACACUCCAAAAGCCCUACUUGAUUCAGUCAAAAGGGGUAUGGAAAAUUAGGACUCACUAUAUUUUAUAUCUUUUGGACAAAAAUAAAAUAAACAGCAUGAACUUUGAA